GUGAGACUCUAUCUCGAAACAAAACAAAACAAAACAAAACAAAACAAAACAAAACAAGCCCCAGUUGGGUUCUGGUGAACUAAUUUCUCUUGAGGGCGGGUCUUUUUAAGGCGGAUGGACACUCGGCAGUUAGUUCAAAAUGGCCGAUCACCAGAUCCCUCCGCGAAAAGCCUGAGGGGAUGUUUUUCCCUCGAUAUUGACUGUGAGAACCUGUUGGGACUCUCGCAGGAAUUAAACAAAACCUGGACAACUGUGGAGAAUUGGGAUAUAGGAAAGCAGAAAAGGAGGCUAAACUCAGAAUGACAAAGACAAAAGUAGACCAGCAUCAUACAAUGUAUGAAGAACAACUGGCUGCAGUAGCAGAUGUCUGCACAUAGCAUAGAAGCAGAACAUGCACUAGGACUUCAGCAGAAACACUGGGUGAUCUGAUAAAAGAUGAAAUGGCAACCACGUGUAUCCUAUAGGUACUGCUAUAUUUCAUGGGAAAUUGGCUGAUGUAGUUUGGAGCUAGGAGAAAUGUCAAGUGCAUAAGGAAAUGAGGAGCCAAGAAACACUGUAAGUCAUGACUAUUUCAUGGUACCCACAACCUUCAUGCUGCAAGAUGACAGAAUGGGUGACUGGGAUGAUAAGGGGAAAGUGAAAAAGGUGGAAAGUUGUUCAAAUCAAAUAGCUCGACUGAACUUUUCUGAAUGGGAUGGCUUUUCUUGGAAUAUUUCAAAAAUGGAACAUUAAAAAAAAACUUCUUUGAAUUCCCAUUGAAAACCCUUCCUUCAGCACUAAGAAGAAAGGAACUGUUCACCUGGGCUAGACACCCUCCUUCAUCUCUCAUGUAUUUCUCAGUUGGGGAGUGCUGCAUGAUGUCCUAAUUUCCCGGGUUAUACAAAUAAAACAUAGUUCCAGUUCCCUUCGAUAUAAAAAGUUGUUGGGUAUCUGUGCUUCAAUUCCACAUCAUUGUUCAGAAAAGGCUUCAGCCCCCAGACACCCUUACUUUUACUAUGGGUGGAGGAAAGGUAGAGCUCCACUCACCCAAUGGACAAAAGCAGGAGGAAAGGUAGAGCUCCACUCACCCAAUGGACAAAAAGACUCAAAAGCCCAAUUAUGGUCCAACUUAGCAGCCAAGUUCUUACCAAGUUGGCAUUCUUGGCGUUCUGAUGUCUCUCCAAUUUAACCCUGGCACAUAUUUGCAUGAUGUCAUCCGCAAUUUUAUUAGUUUCCUCAAAU